CAGGGGAAUCUACCUGCUCAUUGCUGGUACCUCUUCCUGGUUUUGUGCCAUGUGACUAAUAAAAGAGCUUGGGAGGAGCAUGUGGGGGAGCUUUCAGAUGUUGGUCUUGACCUUCAAUGCCAUAAACAACUUUGGCCUUUGAUAUCUGAAAGACCACCUCCUGACUAUGAGCCUGCCUACAAUUUUACAUCCAUAACAAAAGUGGUUCAGCACUUCAAGAGGCCAGGAGACUCAAAGCUCAUGGGCCAUCCAGUCCAACCCCCUGCCAAGAAGCGGGAAAAUCACAUUCAAAGCACCCGUGACAGAUGGCCAUCCAUCCUCUGCUUAAAAGCUUCCAAAGAAGUAGCCUCCACCACACUCCAGGGCAGAGAGUUCCACUGAUGAACAGCUCUCACAGUUUGGAAGUUCUUCCUAAUGUUCAGUUCAUAGAUAUUGAAGUCAGCUGAAGACAAAGGAAAUGAAAGGAGGAAAGAAAACCAGCUGAAAAGCAAGAUAACAGAGGAUUAAUUGGGCCAUUUCUGCCAGAUUGAUACAGUUGGAGUGACUAAUCAUUUGGAUGAGUCCAAAUGUUUUAUGUGGAUUAAGGUAAAAUAGAAAUUGUGGACAGCUAUUAAAUAAUAACUGAAAACCAAAGUAAUUGGCCUUGAAAUUCCAUGUUAAGUGUGAAGUGAUGCAUGCUGGAUCAUUAAAAAAAACUAACUUCACAUAUACAUGGUUUGGAUCUGCUUUGGUGGAAAGGAAUCUUUUGGGUACAAAAGUAAAAUUUCCAGAAAUGUUGAAAUGUGAAUCUUCAGCAAAAUAGUGUGUGUGCAAUAUAUAUUUCAACCUGUAAAGGGUAUAUUAGUACCCUUUUCGGGUUGAAAGUAACUUCUGUUAGUUUGGGGAAAUAAAAGGAUAAUGCCUGAUAUAUAAAAAAGCAGUUUACUCAGACAGUAAUUGAGAUUUAGAGCUACAAGUCUUAUACUAAAAAGAAUUAUCUGGCAACCUCUUUGGUUUUGCCAAUUUGUGAGGAAUAACGGGGGGACAGAUAAAGAGGAGGAAACUAUCAAUAUUAGCAAAAUAAAGACAAUUAUUUUAUCUCUUCUAGCCCUUCACAUUGUCAAGCAAAUAUAGAGUGUUUAUUACCCAUAAAAUAUUGGAAAAAGGAAAAAAACAGGAAAUGUAGUAAUUGUUGUUUAUUAGUUCAGUGGCUUCUGGCUCUUUGUGACCCCCACGUCAGAGCUUCCUGUCGGCCGUCGCUGCCCCCAGUUCCUUCAAGGUCAAGCCAGUCACUUCAAGGAUACCAUCCAUAAUAAGUAAUAAUAUGAUCUUUCAUUUAUUAUUACUGUAUGUAAAGGUCUUCCUUUAACAUAUGUAUUAUAAAUAUUUUUGAGGGAAUAAAUAUAUGAACAUCUUGUCUUAACUAUUUUAUUUAUCAUUCUAAAAGAAAAAACUUUUUUUUAAAAAAAAAAUUCAAAACCAUUAAGAAGACUUUGCAAAAAAAAUUAUAUUUCUUUUUGGGGGCCUUCAC